rnacentral:lncRNA from 1 species
CUCGCUUUUAACGUAGAUGUGAUGUCACAGGCUGCGCUGGUAUCUCUCUGCGACGUCAGAUAUGAGAAUGCUACAGAUGGAGGAGUAGGUGUGUACACAAGCCCUGGGUGUUUGUGGAUGGAUGGGAGAAGCCACUGUGUUAUAAAUAAAAAUACACAGUCUUGAGUCUCUUAUAGGAAGAAUCUUCUCAGCUAGCUGCUAAGUACCAAGCAGAUGCACUUCAGCUGAAAAUGGCUAGGGGUGAGCCAAACUCAGGCGGCAGAUGUGAUAAAGGUAACUGGGCUCAUACCUUCAAAUCUUCAGUAAGAUCUUUAAUUGCAUCCAUAUGUGAAACAUGUCCUUCUCCAUUAUCAACAUCUUCAUCACCUGUUAUCACAGUUGACAUUUAUU